rnacentral:lncRNA from 1 species
GUUUUUAGGGCUGCACCCGCGGCAUAUGGAGGUUCCCAGGCUAGAGGUCGAAACGGAGCUGUAGCCACCAAUUCACCACCGCCACAGCAACGCCAGAUCCGAGCCACAUCUUCGACCUACACCACAGCUCACAGCAAAGCUAGAUACUUAAUCCACUGAGUGAGGCCAGGGAUUGAACCUGUAACCUCAUGGUUCCUAGUCAGAUUCGUUUCUGCUGCGCCACAACAGGAACCCCUAAUUUAUAACUUUCAAAAGGGCAAGUGAUCACUUCACUCUGAGAAGUGUGUGUGGCCAUCUCAGUGUAACCUGGGCUGAGCCAGGAAGGAACAAGUUUCAAGUUUGGGGAAAAAAGGUGCUUCUGUAAGAAGAGUCUCCUUUCUCCUCCUCGGUCACUAUACCCACCUCGUCACCUCAUCAUGGUUUGCUUUGUCCGUUUAUUAUACAACUGUGGUUCUUUGCUUCACUUUUGAUGUUUACUAUAAGCUCUUUGCUUCCCACUCUCGAUUAAAACCAAACACAAAACAGAAACUUCUCGCUAACAAAACAGAGUGAGCAUAAAACCACGAUGUCUCGACCUCAAAUGCCCCAAGAGACCCACUGCACACAGCUGUGUCCUGCAUAUGAAGGGUGGAGUUUAUAGGCUGACCUGUCUCCUGUCCCCAUGGUUAACAGCCUUCUGAGCAGCCUCCUCAACUUCUCACCCCAGGUGGCCAGGUUGUGAACACAGAUGACGCCUUCCGAUGUGAGCUAAGCAAAUCUCAGGGCAUGUUAUCAGCUACGAACGCCUGUGAUGGGAUCUGAGAGGGAGCAGGAGUGUGGAUCAGCUGUUCAUUGCCCCCUGGGGAAUGGGAUGUGGAGCUGGAUGCUGGAAGAAGCACUGCAUCUCCUGGCCUCGUCAUGAGGUGUCAUAGCCCCCAGGAGUCCCCAGGCAGUGAGACCCAUGGCAGCAACGACACAGACCUAAUAGACAUUCGCCAUCACCCUCCACAGGUAGGAGGUGCCUCUGUUCACAUCCAAGAGCUACCGUCCAGCCAGGAGCACGCAGGGCGAUGCUUGCCUUGGGAGACAGAACCCUGGCAGAGCCGUCUACACCCAUAAUCACCUCUCACAAUACAUCCAGGAGGUGAUGCUAUAUGUAAGGAAACAGGGCCCCACUGUAGGUGAAGCCCAAUCCCCAUCCUUCUGUCCAUCCCUCACCCACCCACUGCAUCCAAGGCCCCAUGCAUGGGACCUGCCUCCCCAGGGGCGCCAGGAGCUUCAGGCAUGUUCAGCGCAGAGAGAGCCGGUGGAUGGGCUGCACUUGGAGCUCAGCUCCCAGCCCCGCCAUCUGUGUCCCACCAGGCAUCUGCCAGUGUGGCCCUGACCACAGCGAUGGCAGGGUCCUUGAAGAGGAGAUUCCCCUGUGGACAUGUGGAACCAUGAGGAAUGUGUAUUCUGAAAACUUUUUACGGAGCCACUUCCGGGAGGUGGAAGCCAGGCAUCUAUCCCCAAACACGGCUCCCAUGGAAAUUGUCUGGGCGGUUUUUUGCAAAGAAGGCUCCUGAGCCACGUCCAGGCCCACGGGACCCGGAUUAGUUUGGGAUUAACACACACACACAUUACUAUAUAUAAGAUAGAUAAGCAACAAGGGCCUACUGUACAGCACAGGAAAUUCUACUGAAUAGUCUAAUAACCUAUACAGGAAAAGAAUCUGAAAAAGAAUAAAUCUGUGUACAUGCACAACUGGUUCACUUUGCUGUACACCUGAAACUAACACAACAUUGCAAAUCAAGUACACUCCGACAGAAAAUAAACAUUAAAUUUUUAGAAAGUGAUGGCAAGAUAAAGCACUUCACAAAGUACUGGUCUAUCCUGGUCUCACCGUAGCAGCUGGAGGGGAACUGGGCGACCCCUUCCAUGGCCACAUAACCCCCUCGUGGCCCCCUGACGUGUGCAAGUUGCAAAGGAAACAGGAGGAGGUGCUCAUCCUCAGCCCUCCUCCUGGCCCCAAAUUUGGUCCAGGAACAAGCAGAGUAUGAGACGCAAUUAGCAGCCCUGAGCUCUUAAUGAAAACCCAGACAUGUCCAUAGCGAUGACCUCAAAUGGCAGCUGGCACUCAGGGCAGAGAGCAAACUGCACAUUCAGGGAGCUGGUUCUCUAACCCCGGGCAGCUGUAACGUUGAGACAGUGGGCCUGCCCCUCCCAAGCUGCUCCUCUUCUUUGAAAAAGAGCUACAGAACCAAUUCCAUGCUCAAGUGUGUGUGUCCAGGGGGACAGGGGAGUUUCUUGAUGGAAAAUAGCCUAAAUUCGAAUUAUACUAGUGACAUGAGCCUUCCACGGCACAUACAAGAACUCUCCU